UUAGAGUUUGAUCCUGGCUCAGGAUGAACGCUAUCGACAGGCCUAACACAUGCAAGUCGAGGGGUAACAGGGGCUUCGGCUCGCUGACGACCGGCGCACGGGUGAGUAACGCGUAUGCAACCUGCCUGUAACAGCGGGAUAGCUCCCUGAAAGGGGAAUUAACACCGCAUAACACCACGCUCUCGCAUGGGGACGGGGUAAAAUAUUUAUAGGUUACAGAUGGGCAUGCGUGACAUUAGUUAGUUGGUGAGGUAACGGCUCACCAAGACUGCGAUGUCUAGGGGUUCUGAGAGGAAGGUCCCCCACACUGGAACUGAGACACGGUCCAGACUCCUACGGGAGGCAGCAGUGAGGAAUAUUGGUCAAUGGACGCAAGUCUGGACCAGCCAUGUCGCGUGCAGGAUGACUGCCCUAUGGGUUGUAAACUGCUUUUAUAUUGGAAGAAUUGCGCUUACGAGUUAAGCGUUUGACGGUACAUUAUGAAUAAGGAUCGGCUAACUCCGUGCCAGCAGCCGCGGUAAUACGGAGGAUCCGAGCGUUAUCCGGAAUUAUUGGGUUUAAAGGGUGCGUAGGCGGCCAUUUAAGUCAGCGGUGAAAUUUUGCAGCUUAACUGUAACAGUGCCGUUGAUACUGUUUGGCUAGGAUUUGGUUGUAGUGUGCGGAAUGUGUGGUGUUGCGGUGAAAUGCUUAGAUAUCACACAGAACACCGAUUGCGAAGGCAGCACACUAAGUCAUUAUUGACGCUGAGGCACGAAAGUGUGGGGAUCAAACAGGAUUAGAUACCCUGGUAGUCCACACUGUAAACGAUGAUAACUCGCUGUCGGCGAUACACAGUCGGUGGCCAAGCGAAAGCAUUAAGUUAUCCACCUGGGGAGUACGACCGCAAGGUUGAAACUCAAAGGAAUUGACGGGGGCCCGCACAAGCGGAGGAACAUGUGGUUUAAUUCGAUGAUACGCGAGGAACCUUACCCGGGCUCGAACGGUGCAUGAAUAUACGAGAGAUUGUAUAGUCCUUCGGGACAUGUAUCGAGGUGCUGCAUGGUUGUCGUCAGCUCGUGCCGUGAGGUGUCGGCUUAAGUGCCAUAACGAGCGCAACCCUUGUCAUUAGUUGCCAUCAGGUCAAGCUGGGGACUUUAAUGAGACUGCCACCGUAAGGUGUGAGGAAGGGGGGGAUGACGUCAAAUCAGCACGGCCCUUAUGUCCGGGGCGACACACGUGUUACAAUGGGAGGUACAGAGGGCAGCUAUCCGGUGACGGAAUGCUAAUCUCCAAAACCUUUCUCAGUUCGGAUUGGAGUCUGCAACUCGACUCCAUGAAGGUGGAUUCGCUAGUAAUCGCGCAUCAGCCAUGGCGCGGUGAAUACGUUCCCGGGCCUCGUACAAAGCGCCCGUCA
rnacentral:rRNA from 1 species